CCUACGGGUGGCAGCAGUGAGGAAUAUUGGUCAAUGGACGAGAGUCUGAACCAGCCAAGUAGCGUGAAGGAUGACUGCCCUAUGGGUUGUAAACUUCUUUUAUAUGGGAAUAAAAUGUUCCACGUGUGGGAUUUUGUAUGUACCAUAUGAAUAAGGAUCGGCUAACUCCGUGCCAGCAGCCGCGGUAAUACGGAGGAUCCGAGCGUUAUCCGGAUUUAUUGGGUUUAAAGGGAGCGUAGGUGGAUUGUUAAGUCAGUUGUGAAAGUUUGCGGCUCAACCGUAAAAUUGCAGUUGAAACUGGCAGUCUUGAGUACAGUAGAGGUGGGCGGAAUUCGUGGUGUAGCGGUGAAAUGCUUAGAUAUCACGAAGAACUCCGAUUGCGAAGGCAGUUCACUGGACUGCAACUGACGCUGAGGCUCGAAAGUGUGGGUAUCAAACAGGAUUAGAUACCCUAGUAGUC
rnacentral:rRNA from 1 species